GACAGAGGUGCCAAGCGUUAGGCGGAAUCACUGGGCUUAAAGCGUGUGUAGGCGGGCGGGCAAGUACCUUGUGAAAUCCCACGGCUCAACCGUGGAACGGCUGGGUAUACUGCCUGUCUUGAGCCAGCUAGGGGCGACCGGAACAGACGGUGGAGCGGUGGAAAUGCGUAGGAUAUCGUCAUGGACGCCAAAGGUGAAAACAGGUCGCUGGGGCUGAGCUGACGCUGAGACACGAAAGACCAGGGGAGCGAACGGG
rnacentral:rRNA from 1 species